AUGCAGUGGUCCCCGGGGCGCUGCCUGGGUCAUGUCCCAACCCACAGUCAGACCAGAAGCCUGCAGUACAGAGCAGGAGAGGAGGCCCCACCCAUGACACAGUGUAGGCUCCAGGGAGGGCCUGUGCUGCCCCGAGACUUGCCCAGACCCAGGGUGGGGGCAGGGUCUGCUUCCAGUGAGGACUGGAGAGCUGCCCAGCCCACCUGCUCCAUCUGGUGGGUGGCACAUCGCCCAUCCUCAUCAUCAAAGCAGCCCGGGCCUCUCCCUCUGACUGUCCCCACGCCCUCUCCUCGAAGGCCCCCAAGUGUCCCGGACUCCAGCUCCAGAGCUGAGCACGAGCACAAGCACAUCCUCCUCCCCAGCACCCGCAUCUGUGCACGCCCGCCACCGCCUCCAUGCCCCUUCCAAGCAUUCCUGCCUCCCAAACAGCUCUCAGCGCGCCCACCCCUUGCUCGCUGCCCUGGGCCAAGUGCCCACCCCGUCCUGACAGGCCUUCCCACCUCCUCUCGCCACACCCACAGGUGCCCCUCCACUGGGCCCUCGCAUCCCAGCCCACGAACGUCUGCAAGGCCUGGCCUCCUGGGCUGCGUCCCCCGCUCCCGUCUGUUCUGUUCCUCCCUGCACAGCCUCGGCCUUGGGAGCACAGGCCCCCAGCAGCCCCUCAGGUGGGAUGCGGUGGGACACUGUACAGUUUGUGGACCCCUCCCCUCCCUUCAUGUCGGGCUUGCUUCUGGUCCCCAGAGCCCGGAAGGUGCCCACUCUCCCUCUCCACCACUGCAGCUCCCACGGCUGCCCGUGGCUGCAGGAAACAUCCAGCCGGUGGCCUCCACUCAAACCGUGGUCAGACCUGAGCCAUCCCUGGGGGUGGACACUGUGCUCGUGGCCGAGGGGAGCCCCACUCUCCCACAGUGUCCAUCUUCAUCUCCACUGUACCAGCCCCCUCGGUACCCAAGCACACUGCCCCCAUCUUUAAACAAAGCCCUCCUUGACCUCAGUGACCCCUCCAGCCUCCAGAAUCCAGUCUGGCUCCUCCCUCCUGCUGCUUACCCUACGCUCUAG
rnacentral:lncRNA from 1 species